GAUGAACGCUGGCGGCGUACCUAAUACAUGCAAGUCGAGCGAACAGACUAGGAGCUUGCUCCUCUGACGUUAGCGGCGGACGGGUGAGUAACACGUGGAUAACCUACCUAUAAGACUGGGAUAACUUCGGGAAACCGGAGCUAAUACCGGAUAAUAUAUUGAACCGCAUGGUUCAAUAGUGAAAGACGGUUUUGCUGUCACUUAUAGAUGGAUCCGCGCCGCAUUAGCUAGUUGGUAAGGUAACGGCUUACCAAGGCAACGAUGCGUAGCCGACCUGAGAGGGUGAUCGGCCACACUGGAACUGAGACACGGUCCAGACUCCUACGGGAGGCAGCAGUAGGGAAUCUUCCGCAAUGGGCGAAAGCCUGACGGAGCAACGCCGCGUGAGUGAUGAAGGUCUUCGGAUCGUAAAACUCUGUUAUUAGGGAAGAACAAAUGUGUAAGUAACUAUGCACGUCUUGACGGUACCUAAUCAGAAAGCCACGGCUAACUACGUG
rnacentral:rRNA from 1 species